rnacentral:lncRNA from 1 species
ACCUCUUGCCAUGUUUAAGAACAUUUAAUAUUGUUGGGUACAUAAACGAGAGUGAACUAAAUACUUGAAUGUGGUGUUUCGUCAAUAUGCAACUCGUUGCAUAUUGAGCCCCACUUAACUUGUAGUAUUGUUUGUUGCACUUUGCCAUGCCAUGCCUCAUUAAACCGGACAUGCAUCAUAUUUGCUUGCGCAUCAUGCCAUGUUUAUGUGAUGGUUGUUUACUAUGUUGUUUGCUUCUUUUCCGGGUGUACUUCUUCUCGAUAGUUCUCGGUUUCGUUCCGGAGUUGUGAGGAUCCGUUCGACGUCAUCCGUUUGUCUUUUUCAUGGACUUUAUCUUCUUCCUAGCGGGAUUUCAGGCAAGAUGACCAUUACCCUCGAUAUCACUUCUAUCUUUGUUUGCUAGUUGUUCGCUCUAUCGCUAUGUCGCGCUACGUACCACUUGUUUAUCAUGCCUCCCAUAUUGCCAUGUCAAGCCUCUAACCCACCUUCCUAGCAAACCAUUGUUUGGCUAAGUUACCGCUUAUGCUCAGCCCCUCUUAUAGCAUUGUUAGUUGCAGCUGAAGUUGAAGUUUGCUCCAUGUUGAAACAUGAUGAUUUUGGGAUAUCACAAUAUCUCUUAUUUAAUUAAUGCAUCUAUAUACUUGGUAAAGGGUGGAAGGCUCGGCCUUAUGCCUGGUGUUUUAUUCCACUCUUGCCGCCCUAGUUUCCGUCAUACCGGUGUUAUGUUCCUUGAUUUUGCGUUCCUAAUGUGGUUGGGGUUAUGGGACCCCCUUGACAGUUUGCUUUGAAUAAAACUCCUCCAGCAAGGCCCAACCUUGGUUUUACAUUUUCCUAACAACCUAUUAACCUUCCCUUGGGUCGGCCAACCCGAGGGUCAUCUUUAUUUUAACCCCCCCGGGCCAGUGCUUCUCUAAGUGUUGGUCCGAACUGAGUAGACUGCGAGGCCACCUCAGGGAAACUUGAGGGCUGGUUUUACUUGUAGGAUGUCUCAUCCGGUGUGCCUUGAGAACGAGAUAUGUGCAGCUCCUAUCGGGAUUUGUCGGCACAUUCGGACGGUCUUGUUUUGCCAUUGUCGAAAUGUCUUGUAGCCGGGAUUCCGAGACAGAUCGGGUCUUUCCGGGAGAAGGAAUAUCCUUCGCUGAUCGUGAGAGCUUGUGAUAGGCUAAGUUGGGACACCCCUGCAGGGUAUAAUAUUUCGAAAGCCGUGCCCGCGGUUAUGUGGCAGAUGAGAAUUUGUUAAUGUCCGGUUGUAGAGAACUUGACACUUGACUUAAUUAAAAUGCAUCAACCGCGUGUGUAGUCGUGAUGGUCUCUUCUCGGCGGAGUCCAGGAAGUGAACACGGUUUGUGUUAUGGUUGAACGUAAGUAGUUUCAGGAUCACUUCUUGAUCACUUCUAGCUUCACGGCCGUUGCGUUGCUUCUCUUCUCGCUCUUAUUUGCGUAUGUUAGCCACCAUAUUUGCUUAGUGCUUGCUGCAGCUCCACCUCAUUACCUUAUCCUACCCAUAAGCUUAAAUAGUCUUGAUCUCGCAGGUUUUGAGAUUGCUGAGUCCUCGUGACUCACAGAUACUAUCACAAUAGUUGCAGGUGCCGAUGAUACCAGUGCAGGUGACGCAACCGAGCUCAAGUGGGAGUUCGACGAGGACCUUGGUCAUAGCUUUGUCUCUUUUCCUGACGAUUAGUAGUGGUGCCCAGUUGGGACGAUCGGGGAUCUAGCAGUUGGGUCUAUCUUCUUUUCUUUUGGAUUUUUCCGUAGUCGGACUAUGUGUGUACUCUGAUUGAUGUAUGAUUCAUUUAUGUAUUGUGUGAAGUGGCGAUUGUAAGCCAACUCUUUAUCCCAUUCUUGUUCAUUACAUGAGAUUGUGUGAAGAUGACCCUUCUUG